UACGUAGGGUGCAGGCGUUAAUCGGAAUUACUGGGCGUAAAGGGCGCGUAGGCGGUUUACCAAGUCAGGCGUGAAAGGCCUGGGCUCAACCCGGGAACUGCGCUUGAUACUUGUAGACUUGAGUCCGGGAGAGGAUGGCGGAAUUCCCAGUGUAGAGGUGAAAUUCGUAGAUAUUGGGAAGAACACCGGUGGCGAAGGCGGCCAUCUGGACCGGAACUGACGCUGAGGCGCGAAAGCGUGGGGAGCAAACAGG
rnacentral:rRNA from 1 species